GCUUUUUUCCCCACUCCUGUUGGCGUAGGCUACAGAGAAGCUUUCAGGCUCUGGGGGAAAGAGC
rfam:Struthio camelus australis contig56534, whole genome shotgun sequence.